rnacentral:lncRNA from 1 species
ACUGGCUGGACCGCGGAGCGCAGGGCUCGCGGGUGACGGGGAGGGAGACACGCUCGACACGCACUGGCUCAAGCCGGGCCUGGUCCCGAGCGUUGGUAUCUGAGCGUUUCGUAACCGUACUUAGCCAGGUGGCCUCAAAGCGGUCUGGUGGGAGGUUUUGGCGGCAAGCAAUGAUGAGAACAUUUUGAGGGUGAGGCCUCUGGCUGGAGAAGAUGGUGAGAGAAGACCUCUGGCAGGAAGUGAUAGCCGAGCAGAUGGAACUAUCUUGGCAAAAGCUGGACAAUGUUCCUUUAUUUGAAACACAUAUCUGGAAACAUCAUUAGUUCAGACAUUAAAAAUAAACUACUAGGAGUUGUGUGAGCAAGUCAGUCAAAAUUUCAGCAUGGCUGGCAAAGGGACUCCUGAGGCGCCAGCCAUAACUCGGGAGCUAUGGAGAGUUGAGAGCUGCUGAAGAAAUGAAAGUCACUUUCUUUGUGGAUGUGGUUGAACCCCAGUGGGUGGCCUCACACCCACAUACAUGUGGCCAACAACAACUAGACUCAGGGGCUGAACAGAUGGGUCAGUGGUUAAGGACACACUGCUCUUUCCAAGGACCCAAGUUUGACUCCCAGCACCAACGUUGAGUGCCUCACAACUCUGUAACUCCAGCUCCAGGGAAAUCUCCCAUUUCUGUCCUCGUCUGUGUUACUUGUAUACAAUUCACACGGACAUAUACAUAUAUACACAUAUACACAUAUAUACAUAACUAAAAAUGAUUUAAAAAAGCCAGGCGUGGUGGUG